UGCCCAGCAACUCCUAUCCCUACCUCCUCGUAGUACCGGCCGGAAACUACGAGAACAUUAGGGAAGAUCAAGUAACCAACCCCGGUGGGAACUUUGGUCGUAGGCUGACAGGGAAGG
rnacentral:ribozyme from 1 species